rnacentral:rRNA from 1 species
CUGGCGGUAUGCUUAACACAUGCAAGUCGAACGGGAUGCUUAGGCAUCUAGUGGCGGACGGGUGAGUAACGCGUGAGAAUCUGGCUCCAGGUCGGGGAUAACAGUUGGAAACGACUGCUAAUACCGGAUGUGCCGAGAGGUGAAAGAUUUAUUGCCUGGAGAUGAGCUCGCGUCUGAUUAGCUAGUUGGUGGUGUAAGGGACCACCAAGGCGUCGAUCAGUAGCUGGUCUGAGAGGAUGAUCAGCCACACUGGGACUGAGACACGGCCCAGACUCCUACGGGAGGCAGCAGUGGGGAAUUUUCCGCAAUGGGCGAAAGCCUGACGGAGCAAUACCGCGUGAGGGAGGAAGGCUCUUGGGUCGUAAACCUCUUUUCUCAAGGAAGAAGAAAGUGACGGUACUUGAGGAAUAAGCAUCGGCUAACUCCGUGCCAGCAGCCGCGGUAAUACGGAGGAUGCAAGCGUUAUCCGGAAUGAUUGGGCGUAAAGGGUCUGCAGGUGGAACUGAAAGUCUGCUGUUAAAGAGUUUGGCUUAACCAAAUAAAAGCGGUGGAAACUACAGAACUAGAGUGCGGUAGGGGCAAAAGGAAUUCCUGGUGUAGCGGUGAAAUGCGUAGAUAUCAGGAAGAACACCGGUGGCGAAAGCGUUUUGCUAGACCGUAACUGACACUGAGGGACGAAAGCUAGGGGAGCGAAUGGGAUUAGAUACCCCAGUAGUCCUAGCCGUAAACGAUGGAUACUAGGCGUGGCUUGUAUCGACCCGAGCCGUGCCGGAGCUAACGCGUUAAGUAUCCCGCCUGGGGAGUACGCACGCAAGUGUGAAACUCAAAGGAAUUGACGGGGGCCCGCACAAGCGGUGGAGUAUGUGGUUUAAUUCGAUGCAACGCGAAGAACCUUACCAAGACUUGACAUCCUGCGAAUCCUGGUGAAAGCUGGGAGUGCCUUCGGGAGCGCAGAGACAGGUGGUGCAUGGCUGUCGUCAGCUCGUGUCGUGAGAUGUUGGGUUAAGUCCCGCAACGAGCGCAACCCUCGUUUUUAGUUGCCAGCAUUAAGUUGGGCACUCUAGAGAGACUGCCGGUGACAAACCGGAGGAAGGUGAGGAUGACGUCAAGUCAGCAUGCCCCUUACGUCUUGGGCUACACACGUACUACAAUGCUACGGACAGAGGGCAGCGAGCCAGGGAUGGCAAGCGAAUCCAGAAACCGUAGCUCAGUUCAGAUCGAAGGCUGCAACUCGCCUUCGUGAAGGAGGAAUCGCUAGUAAUUGCAGGUCAGCAUACUGCAGUGAAUUCGUUCCCGGGCCUUGUACACACCGCCCGUCACACCAUGGAAGUUGGUCACGCCCGAAGUCAUUACCCCAACCGAAAGGAGGGGGAUGCCUAAGGUAG